rnacentral:misc_RNA from 1 species
GAUGAAGAACGUAGCGAAAUGCGAUACGUAAUGUGAAUUGCAGAAUUCAGUGAAUCAUCGAAUCUUUGAACGCAUAUUGCGCUCUCUGGUAUUCCGGAGAGCAUGCUUGUUUGAGUAUCAGUAAACACCUCAACUCCCUUUUCUUUUUUGAAAUUGGAGCUGGACUUGAGUGAUCCCAACGCUUUCUUCCAAGAAAGUGGCGGGUUGCUUGAAAUGCAGGUGCAGCUGAACUUUUCUCUGAGCUAUAAGCAUAUCUAUUUAGUCUGCCUAAAAAACAGAUUAUUACCUUUGCUGCAGCUAACAUAAAGGAGACUAGUUCUUGUGCUGACUGAUGCNGGAUUCACAGAGACAGCUUCGGCUGACUUUGUAAACUCGAUCUCAAAUCAAGUAAGACUACCCGCUGAACUUAAGCAUAUCAAUAAGCGGAGGA